rnacentral:rRNA from 1 species
CUUAACACAUGCAAGUCGAACGGAAAGGCCCUUCGGGGUACUCGAGUGGCGAACGGGUGAGUAACACGUGGGUGAUCUGCCCUGCACUCUGGGAUAAGCCUGGGAAACUGGGUCUAAUACCGGAUAGGACCACACACUUCAUGGUGAGUGGUGCAAAGCUUUUGCGGUGUGGGAUGAGCCCGCGGCCUAUCAGCUUGUUGGUGGGGUAAUGGCCCACCAAGGCGACGACGGGUAGCCGGCCUGAGAGGGUGACCGGCCACACUGGGACUGAGAUACGGCCCAGACUCCUACGGGAGGCAGCAGUGGGGAAUAUUGCACAAUGGGCGCAAGCCUGAUGCAGCGACGCCGCGUGAGGGAUGACGGCCUUCGGGUUGUAAACCUCUUUCAGUAGGGACGAAGCGAAAGUGACGGUACCUACAGAAGAAGGACCGGCCAACUACGUGCCAGCAGCCGCGGUAAUACGUAGGGUCCGAGCGUUGUCCGGAAUUACUGGGCGUAAAGAGCUCGUAGGUGGUUUGUCGCGUUGUUCGUGAAAACUCACAGCUUAACUGUGGGCGUGCGGGCGAUACGGGCAGACUAGAGUACUGCAGGGGAGACUGGAAUUCCUGGUGUAGCGGUGGAAUGCGCAAAUAUCAGGAGGAACACCGGUGGCGAAGGCGGGUCUCUGGACAGUAACUGACGCUGAGGAGCGAAAGCGUGGGUAGCGAACAGGAUUAGAUACCCUGGUAGUCCACGCCGUAAACGGUGGGUACUAGGUGUGGGUUUCCUUCCUUGGGAUCCGUGCCGUAGCUAACGCAUUAAGUACCCCGC